UAUGAACGCUGGCGGCGUGCCUAAUACAUGCAAGUCGAGCGAACAGAUGAGGAGCUUGCUCCUCUGACGUUAGCGGCGGACGGGUGAGUAACACGUGGAUAACCUACCUAUAAGACUGGGAUAACUUCGGGAAACCGGAGCUAAUACCGGAUAAUAUAUUGAACCGCAUGGUUCAAUAGUGAAAGACGGUUUUGCUGUCACUUAUAGAUGGAUCCGCGCCGCAUUAGCUAGUUGGUAAGGUAACGGCUUACCAAGGCAACGAUGCGUAGCCGACCUGAGAGGGUGAUCGGCCACACUGGAACUGAAACACGGUCCAGACUCCUACGGGAGGCAGCAGUAGGGAAUCUUCCGCAAUGGGCGAAAGCCUGACGGAGCAACGCCGCGUGAGUGAUGAAGGUCUUCGGAUCGUAAAACUCUGUUAUUAGGGAAGAACAAAUGUGUAAGUAACUAUGCACGUCUUGACGGUACCUAAUCAGAAAGCCACGGCUAACUACGUG
rnacentral:rRNA from 1 species